CGAUACAGGGUGACAGCCCCGUACACAAAAAUGCACAUACUGUGAGCUCGAUGAGUAGGGCGGGACACGUGGUAUCCUGUCUGAAUAUGGGGGGACCAUCCUCCAAGGCUAAAUACUCCUGACUGACCGAUAGUGAACCAGUACCGUGAGGGAAAGGCGAAAAGAACCCCGGCGAGGGGAGUGAAAAAGAACCUGAAACCGUGUACGUACAAGCAGUGGGAGCCUCUUAAUGGGGUGACUGCGUACCUUUUGUAUAAUGGGUCAGCGACUUAUAUUCUGUAGCAAGGUUAACCGAAUAGGGGAGCCGAAGGGAAACCGAGUCUUAACUGGGCGCUAAGUUGCAGGGUAUAGACCCGAAACCCGGUGAUCUAGCCAUGGGCAGGUUGAAGGUUGGGUAACACUAACUGGAGGACCGAACCGACUAAUGUUGAAAAAUUAGCGGAUGACUUGUGGCUGGGGGUGAAAGGCCAAUCAAACCGGGAGAUAGCUGGUUCUCCCCGAAAGCUAUUUAGGUAGCGCCUCGUGAAUUCAUCUCCGGGGGUAGAGCACUGUUUCGGCAAGGGGGUCAUCCCGACUUACCAACCCGAUGCAAACUGCGAAUACCGGAGAAUGUUAUCACGGGAGACACACGGCGGGUGCUAACGUCCGUCGUGAAGAGGGAAACAACCCAGACCGCCAGCUAAGGUCCCAAAGUCAUGGUUAAGUGGGAAACGAUGUGGGAAGGCCCAGACAGCCAGGAUGUUGGCUUAGAAGCAGCCAUCAUUUAAAGAAAGCGUAAUAGCUCACUGGUCGAGUCGGCCUGCGCGGAAGAUGUAACGGGGCUAAACCAUGCACCGAAGCUGCGGCAGCGACACUAUGUGUUGUUGGGUAGGGGAGCGUUCUGUAAGCCUGUGAAGGUGGCCUGUGAGGGUUGCUGGAGGUAUCAGAAGUGCGAAUGCUGACAUAAGUAACGAUAAAGCGGGUGAAAAGCCCGCUCGCCGGAAGACCAAGGGUUCCUGUCCAACGUUAAUCGGGGCAGGGUGAGUCGACCCCUAAGGCGAGGCCGAAAGGCGUAGUCGAUGGGAAACAGGUUAAUAUUCCUGUACUUGGUGUUACUGCGAAGGGGGGACGGAGAAGGCUAUGUUGGCCGGGCGACGGUUGUCCCGGUUUAAGCGUGUAGGCUGGUUUUCCAGGCAAAUCCGGAAAACCAAGGCUGAGGCGUGAUGACGAGGCACUACGGUGCUGAAGCGACAAAUGCCCUGCUUCCAGGAAAAGCCUCUAAGCAUCAGGUAACAUCAAAUCGUACCCCAAACCGACACAGGUGGUCAGGUAGAGAAUACCAAGGCGCUUGAGAGAACUCGGGUGAAGGAACUAGGCAAAAUGGUGCCGUAACUUCGGGAGAAGGCACGCUGAUAUGUAGGUGAAGCGACUUGCUCGUGGAGCUGAAAUCAGUCGAAGAUACCAGCUGGCUGCAACUGUUUAUUAAAAACACAGCACUGUGCAAACACGAAAGUGGACGUAUACGGUGUGACGCCUGCCCGGUGCCGGAAGGUUAAUUGAUGGGGUUAGCGGUAACGCGAAGCUCUUGAUCGAAGCCCCGGUAAACGGCGGCCGUAACUAUAACGGUCCUAAGGUAGCGAAAUUCCUUGUCGGGUAAGUUCCGACCUGCACGAAUGGCGUAAUGAUGGCCAGGCUGUCUCCACCCGAGACUCAGUGAAAUUGAACUCGCUGUGAAGAUGCAGUGUACCCGCGGCAAGACGGAAAGACCCCGUGAACCUUUACUAUAGCUUGACACUGAACAUUGAGCCUUGAUGUGUAGGAUAGGUGGGAGGCUUUGAAGUGUGGACGCCAGUCUGCAUGGAGCCGACCUUGAAAUACCACCCUUUAAUGUUUGAUGUUCUAACGUUGGCCCCUAAUCGGGGUUGCGGACAGUGUCUGGUGGGUAGUUUGACUGGGGCGGUCUCCUCCUAAAGAGUAACGGAGGAGCACGAAGGUUGGCUAAUCCUGGUCGGACAUCAGGAGGUUAGUGCAAUGGCAUAAGCCAGCUUGACUGCGAGCGUGACGGCGCGAGCAGGUGCGAAAGCAGGUCAUAGUGAUCCGGUGGUUCUGAAUGGAAGGGCCAUCGCUCAACGGAUAAAAGGUACUCCGGGGAUAACAGGCUGAUACCGCCCAAGAGUUCAUAUCGACGGCGGUGUUUGGCACCUCGAUGUCGGCUCAUCACAUCCUGGGGCUGAAGUAGGUCCCAAGGGUAUGGCUGUUCGCCAUUUAAAGUGGUACGCGAGCUGGGUUUAGAACGUCGUGAGACAGUUCGGUCCCUAUCUGCCGUGGGCGCUGGAGAACUGAGGGGGGCUGCUCCUAGUACGAGAGGACCGGAGUGGACGCAUCACUGGUGUUCGGGUUGUCAUGCCAAUGGCACUGCCCGGUAGCUAAAUGCGGAAGAGAUAAGUGCUGAAAGCAUCUAAGCACGAAACUUGCCCCGAGAUGAGUUCUCCCUGAGACUUAGAGUCUCCUGAAGGAACGUUGAAGACGACGACGUUGAUAGGCCGGGUGUGUAAGCGCAGCGAUGCGUUGAGCUAACCGGUACUAAUGAACCGUGAGGCUUAACCUUACAACGCCG
rnacentral:rRNA from 1 species